ensembl:lncRNA
CUUUUGAAAGUUUUAACAAUAUCUUCAUCAAGAUCUUGGAAGUUGAAUUGCAAGAUUGUCACCAUAACCGCUGCAUGCUUCCAUCUUUUACAGAGGGAUUUGAAAACCCUCUCGCUGAGUUUCUUGAACUUCUCUGGUGGGAUUUUGUCGUAUCUGGCCCUGAUUUCAGUCCAGAUUUUCAUGUGUGUCUUUUGUCCCCUUUUUCGUCUCCUCAUCCCCAAAGGGUCGCAGCGGGCUGCCCCUCCCUGACCGUGGUUCUGCCAGAGGGUGCUUCCUGUUAAAAGAAAUAGUCAGGACCCAGAUGAACCUGUGCUGGAAUUCAGUGUGGGCUUUCUACUUACAGGGUGGUGGGUCUCAGAGGACAAUUGCUACCCCUGUUGAAGUGAACAACGUGUGGAGUGCAACUGGCUUUGUGGCAUAGCUGGCUCUGGCCUUGGACUGUGUGUUUUUACUUUGUACCUAAAUGGGACACUGGACUUUUAACUACUAUUCAUUGUGUUUAUAAAUAAAAUUUUAGAAUUUUAUUGACUGUCAUCUUUUUGCCCACGGUUGGUCAGACCUAGAAUCUCUUUGUGUGUGUGUGU